AACGAACGCUGGCGGCAUGCCUAACACAUGCAAGUCGAACGCGUGGAGCGAUCCACGAGUGGCGCACGGGUGAGUAACGCGUGGGAACCUGCCCUGGAGUGUGGGAUAACCCGGCGAAAGCCGGGCUAAUACCGCAUACGACCUGAGGGUGAAAGAUUUAUCGCUCUAGGAGGGGCCCGCGUCGGAUUAGCUAGUUGGUGAGGUAAUGGCUCACCAAGGCGAUGAUCCGGAGCUGGUCUGAGAGGAUGAUCAGCCACACUGGGACAGAGACACGGCCCAGACUCCUACGGGAGGCAGCAGUGGGGAAUAUUGGACAAUGGGGGCAACCCUGAUCCAGCAAUGCCGCGUGGGCGAUGAAGGCCUACGGGUUGUAAAGCCCUUUUGCACGCGACGAUGAUGACGGUAGCGUGAGAAGAAGCCCCGGCUAACUUCGUGCCAGCCGCCGCCGUAA
rnacentral:rRNA from 1 species